GAUGAACGCUAGCGGCAGGCUUAAUACAUGCAAGUCGUGGGGCAGCAUGAGUAGCAAUACUUGAUGGCGACCGGCAAACGGGUGAGGAACACGUACACAACCUUCCUUCAAGCGGGGAAUAGCCCAGAGAAAUUUGGAUUAAUACCCCAUAAUAUAUUGAUAAGGCAUCUUAUUAAUAUUAAAGCUUCGGCACUUGAUGAUGGGUGUGCGGCUGAUUAGAUAGUUGGCGGGUAACGGCCCACCAAGUCUACGAUCAGUAGCUGAUGUGAGAGCAUGAUCAGCCACACGGGCACUGAGACACGGGCCCGACUCCUACGGGAGGCAGCAGUAAGG
rnacentral:rRNA from 1 species